rnacentral:lncRNA from 1 species
UCGACGGCGGAGAAUAUUAUCAAGCAACGAGCAAAGAGCUAUUUGCAAUUGCAGCAGCAGCAAAGCAAUAUGAAGCGGCUCCUAAACCCUAAACCCUACGAGAUGACUCUAUGCACUGCAAUAUGAAGGGGCUUCAAAACCCAAAACCUACUAGCUAGAUGAUUAACUGUUUAUUUAAUAUUUAUUUGGAUAUAAUUGU